rnacentral:rRNA from 1 species
AUUGAACGCUGGCGGCAGGCCUAACACAUGCAAGUCGAACGGUAGCAGGAAGAAGCUUGCUUCUUUGCUGACGAGUGGCGGACGGGUGAGUAAUGUCUGGGAAACUGCCCGAUGGAGGGGGAUAACUACUGGAAACGGUAGCUAAUACCGCAUAACGUCUUCGGACCAAAGAGGGGGGACCUUCGGGCCUCUUGCCAUCGGAUGUGCCCAGAUGGGAUUAGCUAGUAGGUGGGGUAACGGG